rnacentral:rRNA from 2 species
GCUAUACAUGCAAGUCGAACGAGUUCUCGUUGAUGAUCGGUGCUUGCACCGAGAUUCAACAUGGAACGAGUGGCGGACGGGUGAGUAACACGUGGGUAACCUGCCCUUAAGUGGGGGAUAACAUUUGGAAACAGAUGCUAAUACCGCAUAGAUCCAAGAACCGCAUGGUUCUUGGCUGAAAGAUGGCGUAAGCUAUCGCUUUUGGAUGGACCCGCGGCGUAUUAGCUAGUUGGUGAGGUAAUGGCUCACCAAGGCGAUGAUACGUAGCCGAACUGAGAGGUUGAUCGGCCACAUUGGGACUGAGACACGGCCCAAACUCCUACGGGAGGCAGCAGUAGGGAAUCUUCCACAAUGGACGCAAGUCUGAUGGAGCAACGCCGCGUGAGUGAAGAAGGCUUUCGGGUCGUAAAACUCUGUUGUUGGAGAAGAAUGGUCGGCAGAGUAACUGUUGUCGGCGUGACGGUAUCCAACCAGAAAGCCACGGCUAACUACGUGCCAGCAGCCCGCGGUAAACUUUGACU